UGCUAAAAUAUCAUCAUUCCAUUUUCUCCCACUAUUCUGGUUGGUAUAUUUCUCUUCAGAAAUAAAUUUCUAGGAUACCUACAAUCACAUAGUAAUAUAUUAUCAAUAUUAUGUAUGUGCACAACUGCUUUUAAACUGAAAUCCUGAUAAUCUUGUUUAGGAAAUUAUAGAACCUUUGGUGCAUGCUCACAUAACAACUUUGUAA
rnacentral:lncRNA from 1 species